rnacentral:tRNA from 2 species
GGGUCGGUGCCCGAGCGGCCAAAGGGAGCAGACUGUAAAUCUGCCGGCACAGCCUUCGAUGGUUCGAAUCCAUCCCGGCCCA